rnacentral:tRNA from 1 species
CAAGGAAUAGUUUAAUAAGAAUGCCAGCUUUGGGGGUUGGUGGUGGAGUUUUAUUUUCUUCCUUGA